UGGCAAUGAAGAAUCAAGGCCGGACUUACAGCUGCCAUUUAGUUUACUGGUAGUAGGUUGACGAAUAUUUUUGUUAAGGUAUAUGUUCUGAGCCAG